GGAAAAAUUCUAGAAUGCAACGGGUAUAUUAGUGACGUGGCGUAACAAACCAAUCAAAUUAAUCCUUUUAAGAAUAUAUAUCCCAUCAUGAUUGUAAAAAAGUAUUUUUAUUGUAUUUUUGUUUGAAAAGAAGGAAUGUGAUUGGCUUGUUAUUGAUGACGUGGUGCAAGUGUGACAAUGUAGAAUUUCUCCUUAUCUAAGACUCUAUAUUUGAUCUUUAUUUUGUCAAUUUAUUAAUAUUAAAAAUUUAAAAGAUUUCUGAAUCCAAAGAUGACUGGCUAAGAUUUUGAAUCUUUUUUUGAGUGUAAAAGCAUAGUACUUUUCAAACUAAAAAAAUAUUAAAAUUGAAGGGAUCAAUCGAUAAAAAGUUUUAGCACUUAAUUGAAAAUUUUAAAAAAAUUUGAAGAUCAACCAUUCAAAAAAAGUUUGGAAAAAGGUUAGAGAGCAAUUGCCUAUUAAUUAAUCCAAAAAAAUUAUGCCAGGUCAGCACCCACAUGUCGAUUUCUGCUGGUUAUAAUAGAAGAUUGACAAUGGACAAUACAACAUUAGGUUAUAGAGACACAUAUUUGGAAUAUUUUUGAGUAAGUGUCUCAUUUAUGUUAAAACUUAAAAACACAUCUACUAAUGCCUAAAUAUAAAACUCAAUCCAAUCAAAAAUAAAAAAUUAUUCUACUCAACCCAUCACACCAAAUCCAUUUGGCCCGAUUACAAACAGAAAAGAAAAAAAAAAUAAAAUCAAUUACCAUCUUUUCUUCAUUCUUCACUCAAUCCACUGAAAUUCUAGACGAAGAGCCUUUACUGUCGUCCUCUUCCGCCACCGCAGCCAACGAGAUAGAGUUUCGGCGGUUGCUAAAUGCUUAAAUAAGUGUUAGAAAAUUAGCAGCACUCUUUUAGGUUAUAGCGACACUCUUUAACUGUCACUAUAUACCUAGCGACCCCACAUAUAGCAACACUUUUUAAAAGUAUCGGUAAUUUUAGCUAGCAGCAUUUUUUUGACAUGUAUCUAUAUUUAAAAGUGUCGCUAUAGACCGUUUUUGUUGUAGUGAGAGAUUCAGUUGAAAAAAAAUUUCUACAAGUUG
rnacentral:lncRNA from 1 species